AUAUACUGGAUAGGCAAUUAUUCCUGUAAUGGUUUUUUGUUUAAAUGUCUUUUCGACUAAGGAUGGGUCUGCGGUCGAUUAGGUAGUUGGUUAGGUAAUGGCUUACCAAGCCUUUGAUCGGUACGGGUUGUGAGAGCAAGAGCCCGGAGAUGGAACCUGAGACAAGGUUCCAGGCCCUACGGGGUGCAGCAGGCGCGAAACCUCCGCAAUGUGAGAAAUCGCGACGGGGGGAUCCCAAGUGCCAUUCUUAACGGGAUGGCUUUUCUUUAGUGUAAAAAGCUUUUGGAAUAAGAGCUGGGCACGACCGGUGCCAGCCGCCGCGGUAACACCGGCAGCUCUAGUGGUAGCAAUUUUUAUUGGGCCUAAAGCGUCCGUAGCCGGUUUAAUAAGUCUCUGGUGAAAUCCUGUAUCUUAACUGUGGGAAUUGCUGGAGAUACUAUUAGACUUGAUACCGGGAGAGGUUAGAGGUACUCCCACGGUAGAGGUGAAAUUCUGUACUCCUGCGAGGACCGCCUGUUGCGAAGGCGUCUAACUGGAACGGUUCUGACGGUGAGGGACCAAAGUUAAGGGCGCGAAUCGGAUUAAAUAACCGGGUACUCCUAACUGUACACGAUGCGGACUUGGUGU
rnacentral:rRNA from 1 species